CGGAGCUAGUGAGUAACUAGCUCAUCUGCAACAGUUUUCUAUUUUUAAAACGAAAAAGAACAAUUUUCCUUGUACACCAUGCUGACAGGGCGUUUAGGCUUCCAAUUGACAACGUUCUUAUAGAUCUCAUUGUUCUGGAAUUGAAACGCUGGUUAUGACGUGAGCUUUAACGUGCGAUGCUACUUCCGACUGGCUGUACAGCUCAAAAUCGCCAUUUUGUCGAUGAAUUCAAUCAUGGAUUUCCUAUCUAAUUCCCGUCUCUUGAACAAGGAAACAUCAAAUUGAUUUAUAGGCUUUUGUCUUAGCACAUACUGAGAUGUAAUAUCUCCCAUAACCAAAGCUACUUAUGAAAUCAACAGGAUCACCUAGAUAGGUACAAUUUCCUGACAUUAGGUGACCAGAAGAAGGGAGAGGCAAGGCAAUUGCCAAGAUGUCAUUCGCAAUAACAAACUAAAGUUUUUUUUUAUAGAAAGGUUGAGGUUCCCAACUGAUAUGUCCUAUUCUGUUGUUAUCUCUGUCAGCAAGUUCAGUAAAGAGACAUACUGUGUCUGGAGAAUGUGAUAAGAGGAGGAACCAGAUGUGAGGCAAAAUAGAAAUGUUCUUCAACAAGAGGUUGCUUCCGGUUCUCAAAGCCAAGACACUGGUUUUUCCGACGACGUCCAGUAGGAUAACAGUCCCUAUCAUCCCCCGCAAUUCUGUGAAGUGGUUUACCAAUACUAAUGUCUUUAAAAGAGCACGAUGAAGUAUGGUGUCUCAUGGAUCAUGUGGUAUUGGUUUAUCCGUAUCUUCCUUUUUUCUAAUCAUGAUUAUUAUUAUAUUUUUAACUUGUUCCAUAUUCUUUUAUGGAACACUUCCGAGGUUCGCGAUCCUUUCAAGAUACGUAGUCGGCCAUUAUUUACAAUGACAUACUAGGAGCGUAUUCCAUUUGAUCAACUGUUCUAUGAAUUUUCUGAAGUGAACGUUUAUCACAACCAAAACUGAACCUGGUACAACAGCAGUCUUCUACGGGCAGUCAGUGUCCUCAAAUAAAUUAAGAUUGUCAUUGGCACGGUUAUCGGAGACGCUUUGUGCGCAAAGCAUGGAUGAACGGGAUGCUCAAACGAUGCUGAAGACUUUCCACUCCGCUCAUUUGGCAGUGAUUAAUGUGGUUAUCGUUUCAACAAGAAGCAUAUUGGGAGUGGUAUCCCUUUGUACAGAAUAGUUUGAUCGCCGCCUGUUAAGCUCCACAGAUGGCGUUGCAUACAAAAACGGAUUGCCAUGCAUUGCAUCAGACCUACCCGUUCGCCAACCCAAGUCUACUCUUAGAUGAUCUAUACCUGAUCCUAUGUUCUAAAGUGAUCUGCUUUCACAGCUACAUUUCUGUGUUCUUUUCCGUUGGUCUAUGGUUCUGAAUUGAGGCAGGUAUAUCUAUUAUGUUAUGUCACUAAGUACUUUAGGGAAAAGAAUAACUGAAGUUGAUUCAGAUCUAUUCUGAUUCUCCUGAUAUCCAUCUCAACAGGUUUUUAUUUGCUUUUCAACAUCCAUUUCAUAGUGGUACAUGUGGCUUUGGUUAAUAUUACCAUAAAGACUGCCGAAAAUGGGUGUGGUAUGGAAACCCAGAAAUGGCAUGAGUUCAACAUCAAACUUGGAUUGGAAUUUUAGCUGGGGAUCAAGUCAAGUCUCGAAGUGUUACAGGAUGGAAGAGUCUGCCUGUAGUUGAAAAAACACUGAAUGCAUUACCAUUAAGGUAUAAGCAAUCCUCUAUAGUUAUGUCACAGCUAGAAGCCUCAAAUAAUUCUGCUUCUCUGGCUAAAGAACAACUUGUCCUUUACGUUCAGAGUGUUGGUGAAACUGGGUACUUAAAUGGCCCUAAAGAUGUUUCACUUUGCCGCCAUUGCAGUGAUGAACAUACAUGGACUCUUUAGGAAAGGAUUUUCAUAUACUGGGAACACAACUAUCAACAAUGCAACAUUUUACUGGUGCUAGUUUAUCAUUCAAGAGCCUUAAACAAUGAUGUUAAUCUGCAAUUUGUAUGUCCUUUCCCAAGCUUCCACCAGAAGUUGAAUCUAUGAGUCAUGUAAGUUACAUGAGCAACAAUUGAUAUGCUUAUUGGUGUUGUUUUUCUUUUCUCAAUAUAGGUUAAUAUUAACAUUGGAUCUGAAAAGAUUCUUGGUUGGGGCAAGACACUGAAUAA